ACGUAUGGAGCAAGCGUUAUCCGGAUUUACUGGGUGUAAAGGGUGCGUAGGUGGCAGUGCAAGUCAGAUGUGAAAGGUCGGGGCUCAACCCCGGAGCUGCAUUUGAAACUGCAUAGCUAGAGUACAGGAGAGGCAGGCGGAAUUCCUAGUGUAGCGGUGAAAUGCGUAGAUAUUAGGAGGAACACCAGUGGCGAAGGCGGCCUGCUGGACUGUUACUGACACUGAGGCACGAAAGCGUGGGGAGCAAACAG
rnacentral:rRNA from 1 species